GAUGAACGCUAGCGGCAGGCUUAACACAUGCAAGUCGAGGGGUAUAGUUCUUCGGAACUAGAGACCGGCGCACGGGUGCGUAACGCGUAUGCAAUCUACCUUUUGCAGAGGGAUAGCCCAGAGAAAUUUGGAUUAAUACCUCAUAGUAUGUGAGAAUGGCAUCAUUUUCACAUUAAAGUCACAACGGCAAAAGAUGAGCAUGCGUCCCAUUAGCUUGUUGGUAAGGUAACGGCUUACCAAGGCAACGAUGGGUAGGGGUCCUGAGAGGGAGAUCCCCCCACACUGGUACUGAGACACGGACCAGACUCCUACGGGAGGCAGCAGUGAGGAAUAUUGGACAAUGGGCGCAAGCCUGAUCCAGCCAUGCCGCGUGAGUGAUGAAGGCCCUAGGGUUGUAAAGCUCUUUUGUGCGGGAAGAUAAUGACGGUACCGCAAGAAUAAGCCCCGGCUAACUUCGUGCCAGCAGCCGCGGUAAU
rnacentral:rRNA from 1 species